AUACGGAGGAUCCGAGCGUUAUCCGGAUUUAUUGGGUUUAAAGGGUGCGCAGGCGGCCAUUUAAGUCAGCGGUUAAAUCGUGGGGCUCAACCCCAUUCUGCCGUUGAUACUGGGUGGCUUGAUUGCGGUCGAGGUUGGCGGAAUUCGUUGUGUAGCGGUGAAAUGCAUAGAUAUGACGAAGAACACCGAUUGCGUAGGCAGCUGACCAGACCGCAAAUGACGCUCAUGCACGAAAGUGCGGGGAUCGAACAGGAUUAGAUUCCCUGGUAGUCCGCACAGUAAACGAUGAAUACUUGUUUUCGGUGAUAUAAUGUCGGAGGCAAAGCGAAAGCGAUAAGUAUUCCACCUGGGGAGUACGCCGGCAACGGUGAAACUCAAAUGAAUUGACGGGG
rnacentral:rRNA from 1 species